CUUCGCAUUGUAUAUUAAUGAUUUGGACGAGGAGAUUUGUGGCCAAGUUUGCAGAUGAUAUGAAGAUAGGUGGAGGGGCAGGUAGUGUAGAGAAAGCAGGGACCCUGCAGAAGGACUUGGACAGGUUGGGAGAGUGAGUAGAGAAGUGGCAGAUGGAAUAUAGUGUAGCAAAGUGUGGAGUCGGGCAUUUUAGUAGUAGGAAUAAAGGCGUAGUCUAUUUUCUAAAAGGGGUGAGAAUCCAGAAAUCGGAGGUCUAAAGGGACUUGGGAGUGCUGGUGCAGGAUUCCCAAAAUGUUAAUUUGCAAGUGGAAUUAGUAGUAAAGAAGGCAAACGCAUUAGAAUACAAAAACAGGGAUGUACUGCCGAGGUUCUAUAAAGCGCUGGUCAGGCCACAUUUGGAGUAUUGUCAGCAAAUUUGGGCACCAUAUCUGAGGAAGGAUGUGCUAGCUCUGGAGAGGGUCCAGAGCAGGUUUACAAAAAUGAUUCCAGGAAUGGGUAGGUUAACCUAUGAUGAGCGUUUGACAGCACUGGACCUGUACUUGCUGGAGGUUAGAAGAAUGAGGACAUACAUGUGAGAAAAGGGUUGAUAGAGAUGGUUGAUUUAUACUAGAACUCUGAAAUAUAACUUAGAAAGAAAUAAGGUGUCAGCAGAAGCCAGACUGCUAGUAGAAUAGAAAGUAACGAUAUAAAGAACAGAGAGAAAUUCUAGAUAAAAAGUAGCAAUAGAAAGACUUCAGCAGGAGUUUUUAAGGAAAAUAGAACAAAGGCAAGAAGGACACGAGGUCACGCUCAACUACGCAUGCUUGAUGAGAUUACAUGAAUAUUAAAUCACGCCCACUAUGACAAGAUGCCUAAUUUAAAUGCACAUGCGAUGCAUGAUAGGGGAGGUGUCUUUGACGUUCUCGUGGGAAUCUGGACUUUAUGUCAUGAUUGGAAGAAGCUCAAUGGGGAGGGAUGAGGGUGUGACAAUAGUGAACUGAAAUGUAUAAAAAUAGAAGACAUCCCGAUCCUUGGUGUGUCUCUAGAGGGCGACAGAGGGGCACCCUUUUCUGCGCAGAAAUGUAAUAAAUGAGAUAAACUUGUUUCUCUGACUUUGUCUCUGAGCAUUUGUGAAUUUGAAUCUCACAACUUUGGGGGCUCGGUUUCCGGGAUCAAAUACUCCGGACAGCUGACGGAAGUAGACGGACGAAGCGAAGGUGCACCCUGCUGAGUUCAGCGGUCUCAGACUCCUUGCUUGCCGUCAGCUGUUUGAGCAGUAGUAUCCGGACCACACAGAGACGCGAGAAACAAGUGAUAACAAGUGGGAGUAGUUGGAAAUCGUGAAAAAUCAAUCGAGCAAUUCCAGUGCACGGAACCCAGGUAAAGUAAAAGCUGUCGGAGAUGGACCAGGAGGAAGGACCCUUUAAACCUGAAGACAAGGUGUAUGUAUGAGUUUUCUAAAUCACCGACCGAUGUUCGUUUAGAAGGUUGAGAUACCUAGUACAAUUUCAAUAAUUACAUGAGGGCUGUCCCGCAGGUACGAAUAGAUAAUAGCCCUGAGGUAAGUGAACAGGAGGACAAAGAAGAGUAGAGUUUUAACAAGAACGUUGUUUGACAUCAGUGGUGGGAAAUAAUGGAAAGGAUACUAAAGACAAUAUUAUAGGAAUUUGGAUAAAUAGGGCAGGAUUAUGAAGAAUUAGCAUGGAUUUGUGAUUGUGAUAUUUGACUAAUCUUGAUUUUUUUUCCUUAAAAAAGAAGUUAUUAGGGAAAUUGAUGAGGUUAAAGUGGUGAGCUUCAGUAAAGCCUUUGACACGGUUCAAUAAGGAAAUAAGAUUGGUUAAGAAGAGGUUAGUAAGGAAUAGCAAGAUGGAUUAAAAAGUGGCUGUAUGGGAAAUGUCAGAGAGUAAUGGUGGAUGGAUGUUUGUCAGGUUGGAGGUCAGUGACUAGAGGGGUACCUCAGGGAUGUGUGUUGGGUCCACUGUUGUUUGUCAUGUGAAUCAACAAUAUGGAUGUUGGUGUGGUAAGAUAGAUUAAGAAAUAUGUAGAUGAUACUAAGAUAGGUGGAGUUGUGAAUAAUGAAGUAGAUUUUAAAAAAUGUACAGAGAGAAUUAGGUCAUUUGGAAGAGUGGGUUGAAACAUGACAGAUGGGUUUAAUGUUGAUAAGUGUGAGGUGAUACAUCUUGGCAGGACAAAUUCAAAUUAGACUUACAUGGUAAAUGAUCGUGAAUUGAGCAAUGAAGUUGAACAGAGGGAUCUAGGAAUAACUGUGCAUAGUUCCCUGAAGGUGGAAUCUCAUGUAGAUAGGAUGGUAUAGAACGAUUUUGGUGUGUUGGCCUUUAUAAAUCAGAGCAUUGUGUAUAGAAGUUGGGUUGCAAUGUUAAAUUGUACAAGGUAUUGGUGAGGUCAAUUGUGGAGUAUGGUGUAUAAUUUUGGUAGGCAUAAUUAUAGGAAAAAGGUUAACAAAAUAGAGAAUACAGAGGAGAUCAAUUAGAAUGUUGACUGGGUUUCAGCAACUAAGAUGAUUAACAACUAAGAGAAAGGUUGAACAAGUUAGGUCUUUAUUAUUUGGGAAAGAUAGAAGGAAUACCCACCAUAGAGGGCAGUGAUGUUUUCUUAAGGAACUAUUUACUGGCAGUAUCUCGUUCUAUUACAGAAUUAAAAACCAAGGGGCUGCUGGCACAGAGUCCCCAUCUCGACUUUCCAAUCCAUUCUGUGAAAGCAGGGAACUGGGAUCUUGUAAAAUCAUGGAAGGAAGAAAAGCUGCAACCUAAGUGGACUGGACCCUACCUUGUGUUAUUAAUCACCGAGACAGCAGUACGAAGAAAAGAAAAAGGGUGGACACACGCAAGCCGAUUUAAGGGUCCUGUGGAGGCCCCACCAGACAAUAUCAGCCCAUGGACUGUGCGUGAAGGGAAGGAACCAUUGACUUUGUGCCUAUUCGGAUGUUGUAUCAUUCCCUGCGCACGGGGGCUGGCUCAGCUUGAUAGAGACAGCCCUGACAAAGAACAGCGCCGUCAUGAUGGCCUUCAGAACACAGUAUGACUAGCGAGAGGAGGAUAGGGAGGCGAAGAAUCUGCUAGCACUAGAAAAGGAGGAUAUGGUAUAAAUCAAAAGUUGCGUAGCAAAAAGAAAAAUGGUGGAUUGUGAGAAAAGGGUUAAUAGAGAUGGUUGAUUUAUACUAGAACUCUGAAAUAUAACUUAGAAAGAAAUAAGGUGUCAGCAGAAGCCAGACUGCUAGUAGAAUGGAAAGUAACGAUAUAAAGAACAGAGAGAAAUUCCAGAUAAAAAGUAGCAAUAGAAAGACUUCAGCAGGAGUUUUAAAGGAAAAUAGAACAAAGGCAAGAAGGACACGAGGUCACGCUCAACUACGCAUGCUUGAUGAGAUUACAUGAAUAUUAAAUCACGCCCACUAUGACAAGAUGCCUAAUUUAAAUGCACAUGCGAUGCAUGAUAGGGGAGGUGUCUUUGACGUUCUCGUGGGAAUCUGGACUUUAUGUCAUGAUUGGAAGAAGCUCAAUGGGGAGGGAUGAGAGUGUGACAAUAGUGAACUGAAAUGUAUAAAGAUAGAAGACAUCCCGAUCCUCGGUGUGUUUCUAGAGGGCGACAGAAGGGCACCCUUUUCUGCGCAGAAAUGUAAUAAAUGAGAUAAACUUGU